AUUACGUUGAUCCUUUGGGAUCUGUUAAAAAAGAAAGCAGGAAAAACAGAAACAAGAGGAAGCUGCGUCAGUAUGAGGCAGUUUACGGUAAAAAGGGGCCAGAUUACCAUGUGAUUUUACCGAUGUUUGUAAACAUGCGUCAGCCACAUGUGAUUGUGACGAGGGGUAAAGAACACAGAGCCCGUCGGCCAACCACAGCGCGGGGGAGUGUCAGGGGCGGGGCCUGCAUGUUGCGCUAUGGAAAAAUCGAUAGGGACUCUGUAAUAAUGCGUGGGGCACUUCGCGAUGGCAAACAAUGAGAACAGGUCGGAAGGCGACAGGUGACUGACCACCCAUUCAUGGGGAACAAGAUCUCGGGGAGAAGGAUGGGAUGAGACCCGGACGCAUGCGAGGAAAGCAGGCCUUGCGGCAAACACGACAAGAUUUGAUGGCCUUUUGUGUCCUGAAAAUGGGGACAGUAUGAGAUGAGUUUCCGUCUACGACAGCAUCUGUAAGUUGAUAUUUAUUUAUUGACACUAUUUGCCUCUUCUUAUUCCACACAUAAGCUGACUCUUGUAACUCUUCAGACAUUUAUUUGAUUUAUUUUAAAUUAGUAGUGAGACGCGGAGUCGUGAUCAUAAAAGAAAAUGCAUCUAAAAUCUCCUGAAAACAUUCUCCCCUUCCACUCUCCCCCUCUCCCCCUACAGCCACCCACACGCUCAGGUCACACACUUUCGGUUUCUGUUUCAUCUUCUCAAACACAGCACAGCAGUAGAACUUGAAGGUUGGUUGCUCCGGGGUGGUCGUUCAGAUAUUCUGGCAGCUCGUCUAAAUUUAGUCAAAUCCUAGUCAUUAUUAGUCAUUAUUAUUAUUAUUACUAUUAUUAUUAUUAUUAUUAUUAUUAUUAUUAUUAUUAUUAUUAUUAUUAUUAUUAUUAUUAUUAUCAUCAUUAUUAUUAUUAUUAUCAUUAUUAGGGAUAUGUGUAAUUAAAGCAAAGGGAGGUAGAAUUUAAGGUUCUGCAGAAAUGCUCCUUGCUAAUCGAAUUAAUAUAUUUUCUUAAGAAGCAGCGUCCCUUAGCAUCCGUUGUUAUGUGGAAGCUAACGAUACAUGCUGGUAAGCUAUCUUCGUCCAUGUAAGCUAUAGUGCCUUCCCCACAAUUGAUGUUGCUUUGGAGAAGUAAGAAGGGAUAUUAAUAGAAUAAAACGCAAUGGAAGGAAAGGGGGAAGACCAGGAAGUAUAGGAGAGCGAGAAGCGCUUCCAGGUCAGGGGUCGAACAUCAAUGAUUAGUGGUGCCAUGGCAUCAUGUACUAUUAUUAAUUUAGAAUAUGCUUUUAUCCAAAGUGAACUCAGAUGCAGGUCAUGAAUGAGUAAGUAGGGGGUAAGGUACAUUUGUGCUCUAGGGGAUGCCAAUAUAAGUAGGCUUCUGACAUUGGGGAUCGAACCCAAUACCUUUUGGCCGGCGGUCACUAGACUAUCCGGUCCACAUCAUGUUCUGUACCAGAAUUGAAUCGGCAUGACCCAGAGCGACUGUCAGUCUGUCAGUUGUCAGUUAAUUUCCUA